rnacentral:rRNA from 1 species
GAUGGACGCUGGCGGCGUGCCUAAUACAUGCAAGUCGAGCGAACGGACGAGGAGCUUGCUUCUCUGACGUUAGCGGCGGACGGGUGAGUAACACGUGGAUAACCUACCUAUAAGACUGGGAUAACUUCGGGAAACCGGAGCUAAUACCGGAUAAUAUAUUGAACCGCAUGGUUCAAUAGUGAAAGACGGUCUUGCUGUCACUUAUAGAUGGAUCCGCGCUGCAUUAGCUAGUUGGUAAGGUAACGGCUUACCAAGGCAACGAUGCAUAGCCGACCUGAGAGGGUGAUCGGCCACACUGGAACUGAGACACGGUCCAGACUCCUACGGGAGGCAGCAGUAGGGAAUCUUCCGCAAUGGGCGAAAGCCUGACGGAGCAACGCCGCGUGAGUGAUGAAGGUCUUCGGAUCGUAAAACUCUGUUAUUAGGGAAGAACAUAUGUGUAAGUAACUAUGCACGUCUUGACGGUACCUAAUCAGAAAGCCACGGCUAACUACGUG